rnacentral:rRNA from 1 species
AUGAGCCAUUACCCUAUCGGGAAAACAGGGUGUAUGCGUCGCACAACGGGUAUGGGUGGUAUCGACGGCGUGACAUACAUCAUGAUUACCUACGUCGCCAUAUUUGGAGUAGGGGUCACCAAGUGUUCGUACAGAAGCCCAACAGGAAAACCCGAGGCCCACCGAGCUGAACGGGGCCCCGACGGCCGGCCGUCGCUUGACCUGAUCCCGGACUUGAUUGAUUAUUACUCCCGGAAAGAGAUUUUGAGUCUGCCCCUCGGGUUCGUCUCCAGCCGCGACCACUUGGUCAUAGCGGCUCUGAGCUACGGGCCGACGGACUUGCAGUACUAUCUCCACACCCUCAGCUCCGAGCCGCGGUCCACCUGGUCCAAGAAGCUGCUGCAGGUGGAGCUCCCCCAUGGAUUAUCCAAGAAACCGUUUGUGAUCGAUCACAGCAAGGUGAUUGCCCUUGGAGGCGGGCUGCUGGGAUGGGUCGAUCUCUGGGAGGGCAUCCUGAUCUGCGACGUGCUUGACCCUGGGACGGCCCCGUUGCGCUUGGUGCCGAUGCCCAAGCUGCUGCCCAGCAACAGACAACUCUGA